rnacentral:rRNA from 1 species
CCUACGGGAGGCAGCAGUGGGGAAUAUUGCACAAUGGGGGAAACCCUGAUGCAGCAACGCCGCGUGAGUGAAGAAGUAUUUCGGUAUGUAAAGCUCUAUCAGCAGGGAAGAAGAAAGACGGUACCUGACUAAGAAGCCCCGGCUAACUACGUGCCAGCAGCCGCGGUAAUACGUAGGGGGCAAGCGUUAUCCGGAUUUACUGGGUGUAAAGGGAGCGUAGACGGCUGUGCAAGUCUGAAGUGAAAGCCCGUGGCUCAACCGCGGAACUGCUUUGGAAACGGUAUAGAUAGAGUACUGGAGAGGCAGGCGGAAUUCCUAGUGGAGCGGUGAAAUGAGUAGGUAUUAUGAGGAACAGCAGUGGCGAAGGCGGACUGCUGGACAGAAACUGACGUUGCGGCUCGAAAGCGUGGAGAGCAAACAGGAUGAGAGACCCCUGUAGUC